rnacentral:rRNA from 1 species
UACGUAGGUGGCAAGCGUUGUCCGGAAUCAUUGGGCGUAAAGCGCGCGUAGGUGGCUUCGUAAGUCCGUUGUGAAAGUCAAAGGCUCAACCUUUGAAUGCCGAUGGAUACUGCGAAGCUAGAGUACGGAAGAGGCGAGUGGAAUUCCUGGUGUAGCGGUGGAAUGCGCAGAUAUCAGGAGGAACACCAAUAGCGAAGGCAGCUCGCUGGGACGUUACUGACACUAAGGCGCGAAAGCGUGGGGAGCGAACAGG